rnacentral:rRNA from 1 species
AAUGAACGCUGGCGGCGUGCUUAACACAUGCAAGUCGCACGAGAACGCUUCAGCUUGCUGAAGCUAGUAAAGUGGCGCACGGGUGAGUAUCGCGUGGGUAAUCUACCCUUCGGUCGGGAAUAACGCUGCGAAAGUGACGCUAAUACCCGAUAACAUUUCGGUGCCUUUGGUCGCCGAAAUCAAAGGUGGCCUCUCCAUGGAAGCUACCGCAGGAGGAUGAGCCCGCGUCCCAUUAGCUUGUUGGCGGGGUAAAAGCCCACCAAGGCGACGAUGGGUAGCUGGUCUGAGAGGAUGAUCAGCCACACUGGAACUGACACACGGUCCAGACUCCUACGGGAGGCAGCAGUGAGGAAUUUUGCGCAAUGGGCGAAAGCCUGACGCAGCAACGCCGCGUGGGUGAUGAAGGCCUUUGGGUCGUAAAGCCCUGUCAAGUGGGAAGAACCCGCAUGGUGCGAAUAAUGCCAUGCGCUGACGGUACCACUGAAGGAAGCACCGGCUAACUCCGUGCCAGCAGCCGCGGUAAUACGGGGGGUGCGAGCGUUAUUCGGAAUCAUUGGGCGUAAAGGGCGCGUAGGCGGCUACCUAAGUCAGGCGUGAAAGCCCGGGGCUUAACCCCGGAAGUGCGUUUGAUACUGGGUGGCUCGAGUAUGGGAGAGGGAAGUGGAAUUCCUGGUGUAGAGGUGAAAUUCGUAGAUAUCAGGAGGAACAUCGGUGGCGAAGGCGACUUCCUGGACCAAUACUGACGCUGAGGCGCGAAGGCGUGGGUAGCAAACA